rnacentral:lncRNA from 1 species
GCUGACUCUUUUCAGACGCAGCCUGCCUGCACCCAGGUGAAAUAAACAGCCAUGUUGCUCACACAAAGCCUGUUUGGUGGUCUCUUCACACGGACAUGCAUGAAAUUUGGUGCCGUGACUCGGAUCGGGGGACCUCCCUUGGGAGAUCAAUCCCCUGUCCUCCUGCUCUUUGCUCCGUGAAAAAGAUCCACCUAUGACCUCAGGUCCUCAGACCCACCAGCCCAAGGAACAGCUCACCAAUUUUAAAUAGGAGAAGUUUACAAAACAAGGAGGAAGACUUCUACACCUCACAGCCAGGAUUCCCUGCUCUGGCUCUCGGCUGCUGCCUCAGGGUGAAUCUGUUGC